UAGUCCACGCCCUAAACGAUGCUUACUCGAUGUUUGGGCUAUAUGUCUGAGCAUCCAAGGGAAACCAUUAAGUAAGCCACCUGGGGAGUACGUUCGCAAGGUUGAAACUCAAAGGAAUUGACGGGGGCCCGCACAAGCGGAGGAACAUGUGGUUUAAUUCGAUGAUACGCGAGGAACCUUACCUGGGCUUAAAUGUAGAUUGCAUAAUUUAGAAAUAGAUUUUCCCUUCGGGGCUAUUUACAAGGUGCUGCAUGGUUGUCGUCAGCUCGUGCCGUGAGGUGUCGGGUUAAGUCCCAUAACGAGCGCAACCCCUAUCGUUAGUUGCUAGCAGGUAAUGCUGAGGACUCUAGCGAGACUGCCACCGUAAGGUGAGAGGAAGGUGGGGAUGACGUCAAAUCAGCACGGGCCCUUAUGUCCAGGGGCUACACACGUGUUACAAUGGGCAGGGUACAAAGGGGCAGCUACACAGCGAUGUGAUGCUAAUCU
rnacentral:rRNA from 1 species